rnacentral:rRNA from 1 species
ACGAACGCUGGCGGCGUGCUUAACACAUGCAAGUCGAACGGAAAGGCCCUGCUUUUGUGGGGUGCUCGAGUGGCGAACGGGUGAGUAACACGUGAGUAACCUGCCCUUGACUUUGGGAUAACUUCAGGAAACUGGGGCUAAUACCGGAUAGGAGCUCCUGCUGCAUGGUGGGGGUUGGAAAGUUUCGGCGGUUGGGGAUGGACUCGCGGCUCAUCAGCUUGUUGGUGGGGUAGUGGCUUACCAAGGCUUUGACGGGUAGCCGGCCUGAGAGGGUGACCGGCCACAUUGGGACUGAGAUACGGCCCAGACUCCUACGGGAGGCAGCAGUGGGGAAUAUUGCACAAUGGACGGAAGCCUGAUGCAGCAACGCCGCGUGCGGGAUGACGGCCUUCGGGUUGUAAACCGCUUUCGCCUGUGACGAAGCGUGAGUGACGGUAAUGGGUAAAGAAGCACCGGCUAACUACGUG